rnacentral:lncRNA from 1 species
CGAUACUGCUAAGGUCUCAGCAACCCCGUGUUACUUGAUACACUAAGCCAGUAGAAGAAAAAGAAAAACUGUGUCGACAUCAAUGAGAAUUAAGUUGGUCAGAUUCUUCUGGCUCUUUCACCCUACGUAUGUGUGGGUACCCCCACUUUUGAAUUUGAGGAAGAAGCUAGAGCAGGUGCUGCUUACAGACGGGGCAGUGGCAGGAGCUGUAAGGACAAAGUGUCCAGCUGGAAAGGCUUCAGCUAUUCAGGAGGAGGCCUUGACUGCUGCACUUGAGCUCCAGACGCGACCGAAACACGGACCUCUCUUCAGAUAAAG